UGAAAAGAUACAGCUCCUGUCCUCAAGGAGUUUAUAAUCCAGUGGAGAUGCACCAAUGCAAACAGUGUGUAUGAGUUUGCUCAGGCUGCUGUAAGAAAAUACCACCCCGGGGGAAUUAAACAACAGAGAUUUAUUUCUCACACUCUGGAGGCUGGACGUCCACGGUCAAGGUGUUGGCAGGGUUGGUCCCUCCUGAGAACCCUCUUGUUGGCGUGUGGACAGCCGUCUUCUCCCUGUGUCCUCAUGUGGUGGUUGUCCCUCUGGGUGUGCCUGUGUCCUACCACCUCUUCCUGUAAGGUCACAGUGAUAUGGGAGUAGGGCCUGCCCCAGUGACCUCAGUUUACCUUAGUCACCUUGAUAAAGGCUGUUUUUCCAAAUACAGUCACAGUUUGAGGUUAGGACUUCAACAUGUGAACAUUAGGCGCACACGAUUCAGCCCAUAGCACAAUGAAUAGCAAAAUAAUUCUGAAAGGCAAGGACGAUGUGGACAGGGAAAGGUGGAAAAAGGAGUGGCAUCUCCUUGGGGGCACAUCUCCUCCUGUGGACAACAGUUCAGUGACCCUUCAGCACAUGAGUGACCAGCAACUGAGCACAAACCGGGAAAUGAAGGGAGGGUCAUGGAGGAUGCGGGUCAGAGCACUGAGCUCCUGCCAGUGUAGGCAGCUGGCAAAGAAGGAUAGGUCAGGAGAGGGUGAGGAGGGGAGGGCAGGGAGGAAGGACAAGUCUCAGUUUCCUCUCCUUUGCCUUCCGUCACACAAGGGCAGGGGCACCACGACUGGGCCCAUUCCUGAUGCCAGCCCAUGUUCACAUAAACCGAUGGGUUUCAACCCCUGGAGCCUGGACCCACUUCUCACCAUUGCCUGGAGGCGCGUCAGCAACGCAGAAUCUCGGGUCCACCCGGACCCACGGAAUCAGAAACUCUAGGGUGAGGGUGGAAGGGGGGGCUGUGGGUGAUUUUACAGCCCCCCUGCUCCCCCCAGGUGAUUCUGAUGCUCCUUGAAAGUUUGAGAACACUGCUACAGUUAUAUGAUGAUGCUGAGCUGGAUUUCAACUGGGUGGUCCCGCACAGACCCUGGAUGGAGAACGAGGCAGCCAUGACCCCAGCUGUGAGGCAAAUCCUUGUGUGACCUUUGGAACAAGAAGGCCGGCUGGGAUCCUGGCCGCACACACUGCACCUCCGGAAAGGGAAACUUGGCCUUCACCUCAUAGGCAUGGCUUGCCAAGCGGUGCCAUGUCUGCACCCGGGAUCUGAACCAGUGAACCCCGGGCCGCCGAAGCGGAACGUGCAAACUUAACCGCUGCACCACCAGGCCGGCCCCCGAGACAUUCCAACUUUUCCUCUUAGGAGCUCGUCAAAUCCCAAGACGGCCUUGGCGGUUCCUACACAGAUUUGAAGCCCCAAACAGGCCUAGGAAAGCUCCAGAGGAGCCGUGAGUAGCAGAUGGGAGCCAGACAGCAGCUUUUGCAUUCAAGUGACCAAAAUAGGCGUUUUAGGGCCCAACUCAGUGUGUUCAUUUGCCGGGGCUGCUGUAACAAUGUACCACGGGCUUGGUGGCUUAACACAAUGGUAGUUAAUUGCCUCACAGCCUGGAGGACACAAGUCUGCAGUGAAGGUGUCGGCAGGGUUGGUUCCCCCUCGCGGGCUCGGAGGAAGAACCCCUCCCUGUCUGCCCUGGUCUCUGGUGGUUGCCAAGGAUCCUUGGUUCUCCUGGGCGUGUGGAGCAUCACUCGCAUCAUGGGGCGCUCUCCCUGUGUCUUCCCAUCCCUCCCUCUGCGUCUGUGUCCCAAUUCUCCUCUUAUGAGGAUCCCAGUCCUUGGAUGUCGGGCUCACCCUGACUCAGCCUGAUCUCACCUGAACUUGAUGACAUCUGCAAAGACCCUCUUUCCAUAUAAGGUCACAUUCACAGGUACCAGGGGUUAGGAGCUCAGCAUGUGUUUUUGGGGAACCCAAUGCUGCCCAGCACGCUGGGCGCUGACGCAGCAGAGCCGUGAGUGACAGCGCCCCUUGGAGCCCACUUCGCUCUGCAGCAGCAGGCAGUGGCACAGGCUCUGGUCAGCCGUGGGGUUUCUCGAAAAGCAUUGUUCCUCCGAGGAAGGGGACUUCCCUGGGGAGCGAUCGGCUGGACUCUCAGCCCCUUACCAAGCAGUAGCAGCUUCUCAGGAUCUGCAAAAUAGAGAAAAUGAGCAUGCGACUGAGGCCAUUUUCUGGAACCAGUGAUGGCCUAUUUAGCCUCAUUUAAUCGAAAAAAGAAAAAGGAGAAGCAGCACCUUAGAUCUUUACGACUUUUUCUUUCUUUUUUUGCCUGAAGGCAAUUUAAUAAAAUGAGGGGUGGGCGGGAACCAUAACGAGGGUGGUCUGAAAAUAAGUGCCUUAACCGUCCUCCCCAUCUGGACAGAAUGUUCUGGAAGGAAGUCGUAUAUGUUUAAUGAUGUGUUUGUUAGUAUUCAAGUUCCCUGUGACUGUUUGGGGGCAUUUCUUUAAAGGCAUGCUUUUAGGGGAAAAAAAAAAAAAACACUGCUGGGUUGGGAGAAGAAAAUGAGCUGAGCCAAACCUCCACAAACGCUUUGUAAA
ensembl:lncRNA